rnacentral:rRNA from 1 species
AGAGUUUGAUCCUGGCUCAGGACGAACGCUGGCGGCGUGCCUAAUACAUGCAAGUCGAGCGGACUAAUGGGAGCUUGCUCCCAGAGGUUAGCGGCGGACGGGUGAGUAACACGUGGGCAACCUGCCCUGUAGACUGGGAUAACACCGAGAAAUCGGUGCUAAUACCGGAUAACUUCCGAGGUCACCUGACCUUGGAUUAAAAGAUGGCUCCGGCUAUCACUACAGGAUGGGCCCGCGGCGCAUUAGCUAGUUGGUGAGGUAACGGCUCACCAAGGCGACGAUGCGUAGCCGACCUGAGAGGGUGAUCGGCCACACUGGGACUGAGACACGGCCCAGACUCCUACGGGAGGCAGCAGUAGGGAAUCUUCCGCAAUGGACGAAAGUCUGACGGAGCAACGCCGCGUGAGUGAUGAAGGAUUUCGGUUCGUAAAGCUCUGUUGUUAGGGAAGAACAAGUACCGUUCRAAUAGGGCGGYACCUUGACGGUACCUAACCAGAAAGCCACGGCUAACUACGUGCCAGCAGCCGCGGUAAUACGUAGGUGGCAAGCGUYGUCCGGAAUUAUUGGGCGUAAAGCGCGCGCAGGCGGUCUUUUAAGUCUGAUGUGAAAGCCCACGGCUCAACCGUGGAGGGUCAUUGGAAACUGGGAGACUUGAGUACAGAAGAGGAGAGUGGAAUUCCACGUGUAGCGGUGAAAUGCGUAGAUAUGUGGAGGAACACCAGUGGCGAAGGCGACUCUCUGGUCUGUAACUGACGCUGAGGCGCGAAAGCGUGGGGAGCAAACAGGAUUAGAUACCCUGGUAGUCCACGCCGUAAACGAUGAGUGCUAGGUGUUAGGGGUUUCGAUGCCCUUAGUGCCGAAGUUAACACAUUAAGCACUCCGCCUGGGGAGUACGACCGCAAGGUUGAAACUCAAAGGAAUUGACGGGGGCCCGCACAAGCAGUG